rnacentral:rRNA from 1 species
UGGGGAAUAUUGCACAAUGGGCGCAAGCCUGAUGCAGCGACGCCGCGUGAGGGAUGACGGCCUUCGGGUUGUAAACCUCUUUCAAUAGGGACGAAGCGGAAGUGACGGUACCUAUAGAAGAAGCACCGGCCAACUACGUGCCAGCAGCCGCGGUAAUACGUAGGGUGCGAGCGUUGUCCGGAAUUACUGGGCGUAAAGAGCUCGUAGGUGGUUUGUCGCGUUGUUCGUGAAAACCUGAGGCUUAACCUUGGGCGUGCGGGCGAUACGGGCAGACUGGAGUACUGCAGGGGAGACUGGAAUUCCUGGUGUAGCGGUGGAAUGCGCAGAUAUCAGGAGGAACACCGGUGGCGAAGGCGGGUCUCUGGGCAGUAACUGACGCUGAGGAGCGAAAGCGUGGGGAGCGAACAGGAUUAGAUACCCUGGUAGUCCACGCCGUAAACGGUGGGUACUAGGUGUGGGUUUCCUUCCUUGGGAUCCGUGCCGUAGCUAACGCAUUAAGUACCCCGCCUGGGGA